rnacentral:rRNA from 1 species
UACGUAGGGUGCAAGCGUUAAUCGGAAUUACUGGGCGGAAAGCGUGCGCAGGCGGAUUUGUAAGUCUGACGUGAAAUCCCCGGGCUCAACCUGGGAAUUGCGUUGGAGACUGCAAGGCUAGAAUCUGGCAGAGGGGGGUAGAAUUCCACGUGUAGCAGUGAAAUGCGUAGAGAUGUGGAGGAACACCGAUGGCGAAGGCAGCCCCCUGGGUCAAGAUUGACGCUCAUGCACGAAAGCGUGGGGAGCAAACAGG